UUGGCAUUAUCUCAGUUGUCCUCUCCAACUUUCCCGGUGGUCAUUACCCACAACUCUGCCAUGGCGGCAGCCACUGCUCCACAUGCGCCUGCACAGGCGCCCAAUCCCCUUUCAUAACGCAGUCACUGUGCGUGCCUUCCAGCGCAGCGACUUCGACAGGUUCGCUAGGGAUGCCUGGCGCACUGCUAACGAUGGCUUUGAGCAGCUGAUAUUUGAGACCAAGAAGACCGCAGAGCGUAUUGACCGCAGAUACUCCGUCUCCCGCCGUCUUAAUUCUGUCGCCCAAUCUGCCGCUGACCGCUUCCGUGAGAUUGAUAGAGAGCUGGAGAUUAGUGUUCGGUGGCGCACAUUUUCCAUGGAUUUUGUUAGAAAUUGGCCUAGGUACAGGAGGCAGCUUAAUAAUUUUCUGGAUACACCAUUGGGAAGAAGUUUUGCUACUAUUUUCUUCCUCUGGUUUGCAUUAUCUGGGUGGCUGUUUCGCUCCUUGAUAUUUGCUACAUGGGUUCUGCCAUUUGCUGCACCUCUUCUCAUUGGGACCGUGGCAAAUAAUCUUGUUAUUAAGGGGGCUUGUCCAGCAUGUAAGAGGCAGUUUGUUGGUUACAAAAACCAAGUAAUUCGAUGUGCUAGCUGUGGUAACAUUGUGUGGCAGCCAGAAGGAGACUUCUUUUCAAGAGGUGGUAGAGGUAGAGGGACCUCUCCAUCGAAAUCUGAUGGUGAUAUAAUUGAUGUUGAGUUUGAGGAGAAAUAACCCUAGAUGCUUGGUUGAAAGUGAUGGUUCACUUCAUGCACACUCUGCAUGGCAUGCCAAUACUAAAGUAG
rnacentral:misc_RNA from 1 species